rnacentral:tRNA from 1 species
GUUUUUAUAGUGUAAACAACAUAUUGCAUUUUCGUUGCAAAGCUGAAAAAACUUUUUUCUAAAAACU